AACGAACGCUGGCGGCAUGCCUAACACAUGCAAGUCGAACGAGACCUUCGGGUCUAGUGGCGCACGGGUGCGUAACGCGUGGGAAUCUGCCCUUGGGUUCGGAAUAACAGUUGGAAACGACUGCUAAUACCGGAUGAUGACGUAAGUCCAAAGAUUCAUCGCCCAAGGAUGAGCCCGCGUAGGAUUAGCUAGUUGGUGAGGUAAAGGCUCACCAAGGCGACGAUCCUUAGCUGGUCUGAGAGGAUGAUCAGCCACACUGGGACUGAGACACGGCCCAGACUCCUACGGGAGGCAGCAGUGGGGAAUAUUGGACAAUGGGGGAAACCCUGAUCCAGCGAUGCCGCGUGAGUGAAGAAGGCCUUCGGGUUGUAAAGCGUACUUUCACCUGAGACGAUAAUGACGGUAUC
rnacentral:rRNA from 1 species